UACGGAGGGUGCAAGCGUUAUCCGGAUUUACUGGGUUUAAAGGGUGCGUAGGCGGGCCAUUAAGUCAGUGGUGAAAGCUCCGAGCUUAACUCGGAAACUGCCAUUGAUACUAUUGGUCUUGAAUUCGGUCGAGGUUGGCGGAAGUGUGUCGUGUAGCGGUGAAAUGCUUAGAUAUGACACAGAACACCGAUUGCGAAGGCAGCUAGCUAGACCGACAUUGACGCUGAGACGCGAAAGCGUGGGGAGCAAACAGG
rnacentral:rRNA from 1 species